rnacentral:rRNA from 1 species
CUAAUUUAAUAGAGCGUCGCAAUGACUCUCGGCAACGGAUAUCUCGGCUCUCGCAUCGAUGAAGAACGUAGCGAAAUGCGAUACCUGGUGUGAAUUGCAGAAUCCCGUGAACCAUCGAGUCUUUGAACGCAAGUUGCGCCCGAAGCCUUUCGGCCGA